UAUCUUCUAGUUUCGUUUCUAGUGUGGUAUGUUCUCGCUUCUGAUUUAGUUUACUGGUAUUCUUCUUCUUCUUUUUCUUAAUUUGCGGCUCCUUCACAGAAUCUGUUCUGUUUCUGUUCUUUCUUCUGAUACAAGCUUCAAACUUUUUUUGUAGCAGAAAAUAAUUAGUUUAAUUUUGGGUGUUAUGGCUUUCUGGAACUGAUUUUAGCAGAAUUCUCGCAUUAUCUUUGAUUUUUUUCACCUAGAAGGUUCCUCAAAUAUGAAAUUCAUUUGCAAAACUCCAAAAUUUUGGAGUAGAAGAAGGCAUGAUUUUGUUUUGAUUGUUAGUGUUAUGGUUAUGUGGAUAUGGUUUUGGCAGAAUUAAUUUGUGCAUUGUCUUUCAUUUCUUUUACACCUAAAAGGUCCCUGAAAUAUGGAUAUUCAGUUGUAAAACGUUCCAACGUGAUUUGUUAUGGUUCAUUUGGCAAAGGAGGUGAAGAUGGAUGGUCGGGUUCAAUUUCGAUGCAUGUAUUAUAUAGAAAGUGGUAGGCCAUUACAAGGGGGUGCUUUGGAAUUUAACCAAAAGACCGGUAAAGCACCUGAAUCCCUAAUGUGAUGAAGCAUCCAGACUGUCAAGUCCUAGUAAGUGACAUCUUGCAACUUCAGACACACUACACAAUUGUGAUGCUAUCCUCUGAAUAACUAAUAAUUUGUAUCGAUAUUUCAAGAAAUUUGCUAUUGUCGUACUAGGCUCCACGAUCAUUUCAAGAAAUAUGCUAUCGGCGUAGUAGGCUCCACGAUAUUUUCAAGAAAUUUGCUAUAAAGGAGGAAAGCUCGCAGAACAUGCCAGCAGAGGUUAAUGAAGCUAAAUAGAAAUUCUUGGUGAGAAUUCCAGCUCUAAACCAUUUAAGGCUGGCAAUAUGUUUCAUCUAACACACAAGUUAUUGGAAGAAAAUUUGGUUUUGGGGUUACUAUAUUUUAUACGCCUGCAGCUUUUAUGUUUUUUUUUUUUUGAAGUAGCAACAUAUUUUUAGGAGUAUUUAGUUUUUGGAAGUGAGUAAAUAUUUAGUACAUCAGUUUUAUGUACCAUUACUAACCUUAGGAAAUAUAUUUAUAUAAACAUUAGUGAAAUUUUAAUACGAAAUGUGAAUUGUGUAUGUAAUAACUAUUUGUAAGUUGCUAAAGUUGUAUUGGAGAAUAUUAUUCAUAUAUAGCAAAAAUAUAAUAUUGUUGGCAAA